UAUUUUAAAAUUGUUGAACAAUGAAAUGUGCCCAGUAAACACGUUUACGUCAAUAUGACGUCAAAAUGACAUCGGGCUAUGUCAGGAUUUACGUAAGAUAUAAGUCACGAAUGAGUCAUAUGUGACUCAUUAUUUCACAUCUCUUGACGUAAGAUUCUGACGUAAAAAUAUGACGUUGUCAUGACGUUAGUAUUAUGUCUCAAUGACAUUUAUGAUGUCAAUAUGACGUACCUGUGAUGU